GAUGAACGCUGGCGGCGUGCCUAAUACAUGCAAGUCGAGCGAAUGGAUUAAGAGCUUGCUCUUAUGAAGUUAGCGGCGGACGGGUGAGUAACACGUGGGUAACCUGCCCAUAAGACUGGGAUAACUCCGGGAAACCGGGGCUAAUACCGGAUAACAUUUUGAACAGCAUGGUUCGAAAUUGAAAGGCGGCUUCGGCUGUCACUCAGGGAUGGACACGCGUCGCAUUAGCUAGUUGGUGAGGUAACGGCUCACCAAGGCAACGAUGCGUAGCCGACCUGAGAGGGGCAUCGGCCAAACUGGGACUGAGACACGGCCCAGACCCCUACGGGAGGCAGCAGUAGGGAAUCUUCCGCAAUGGACGAAAGUCUGACGGAGCAACGCCGCGUGAGUGAUGAAGGCUUUCGGGUCGUAAAACUCUGUUGUUAGGGAAGAACAAGUGCUAGUUGAAUAAGCUGGCACCUUGACGGUACCUAACCAGAAAGCCACGGCUAACUACGUGCCAGCCGCCGCGGUAA
rnacentral:rRNA from 1 species